rfam:Gossypium hirsutum cultivar TM-1 chromosome 9, whole genome shotgun sequence
AACCAAUGGUGAGGGCACUGUCUCAAUAAGUCAUUAUACCUCUCUCAUGCAUCAUAUAGGGUCUUUAAGUUGAUCUAAAUGAAGGAAGAUAUAUCAUUCCUUAACUU